rnacentral:misc_RNA from 1 species
UAAUAAGUGUUUUAUGGCACUUUUUAAAUCCAUAUCCACCUUGUGUGCAAUGUCAGUCGAUCUUCUUCAUGGAGAUCGACCAAACAUCAACCUUUAUCUUUUAACUCUUUGUCCGAAAAAAUAUUAUGAAUAAACAAUUCAAAAUA